rnacentral:lncRNA from 1 species
AACAACAAAAGAAAAACCCUUCUCUUCUUCUUUCUCUUUCUUUUCUUUCUUUCUUUCUUUCUGUUUUUUUUUCUUUUCUUUUUUUUUUCAAGUAGCACAGAGCUCAAAUUUUGCAACAAGAGAUAACAAGCUACUUACAACAAUUAAAUGCUUCCUUGGGAAGGGUGAUUCAGUAGCAAAGUCAAACAAGUGGCUGUUUUGCAAAACCAGCAGAUGCGCAAAUCUCAAGGGUGGUUGCGAAGUGCUCAGAUUGAAUUUGGG